rnacentral:rRNA from 1 species
GAUGAACGCUGGCGGCGUGCCUAAUACAUGCAAGUCGAACGCAUUGAGAGAAGUGCUUGCACUUUUCAAUUUGAGUGGCGAACGGGUGAGUAACACGUGGGCAACCUACCUGAUAGCGGGGGAUAACGAGUGGAAACAUUCGCUAAUACCGCAUAACAAUAGAGAAGGCAUCUUCUUUAUUUAAAAGGCGCUUUCAAGCGUCACUAUCAGAUGGGCCCGCGGUGCAUUAGUUAGUUGGUGGGGUGAAGGCCUACCAAGACGAUGAUGCAUAGCCGAGUUGAGAGACAGAUCGGGCACAUUGGGACUGAGACACGGGCCAAAGUCCUACGGGAGGCUGCAGUAGGGAAUCUUCCACAAUGGACGAAAGUCUGAUGGAGCAACGCCGCGUGUGUGAUGAAGGCUUUCAGGUCGUAAAGCACUGUUGUAUGGGAAGAAAUGCUAGGCUAGGAAAUGAGCUUAGUUUGACGGUACCAUACCAGAAAGGGACGGCUAAAUACGUGCCAGCAGCCGCCGUAA